rnacentral:rRNA from 1 species
GAAUGCAGUCGAACGCGAAGUCCCCUUCGGGGGACAAGUAGAGUGGCGCACGGGUGAGUAACACGUAGGUAAUCUACCUUCGGAUGGGGAAUAACAACCGGAAACGGUUGCUAAUACCGCAUAAUGCAGCGGCACCUAAUGGUGACAGUUGUUAAAGCGGGGGAUCGAAAGACCCCGCGUCUGAAGAGGAGCCUGCGGCGGAUUAGCUAGUUGGUAAGGUAAUGGCUUACCAAGGCAACGAUCCGUAACCGGCCUGAGAGGGCGGUCGGUCACACUGACACUGACAUACGGGCCAGACUCCUACGGGAGGCAGCAGUCGGGAAUUUUGGGCAAUGGGCGAAAGCCUGACCCAGCAACGCCGCGUGAAGGAUGAAAUCCCUCGGGAUGUAAACUUCGCAAGAACGGGAAGAAUAAGUAGGGGACAACACCCCCUAUGAUGACGGUACCGUUUGUAAGCUCCGGCUAACUCCGUGCCAGCAGCCGCGGUAAUACGGGGGGAGCAAGCGUUGUUCGGAUUUACUGGGCGUAAAGGGCGCGUAGGCGGCCUCCGCAAGUCAGUUGUGAAAUCUCCGAGCUUAACUCGGAAAGGUCAACUGAUACUGCGGGGCUAGAGUGCGGGACGGGCAACUGGAAAUUCUUGGUGUAGCGGUGAAAUGCGUAGAUAUCAAGAGGAACACCUGCGGCGAAGCGGGUUUGCUGGGCCGACACUGACG